CACAGGCAUUAUGGCCAGCACACUUCCUGCGAAUUUGUACCACCACCCCUUAUCUCAUCUAUGCUUCUGCUCACAGCACUGCACUGGAGCCAGGGGAUGGAUACCUGGCACUUGUAUGUCCUAUGAAGAAAGAGAGGAGGAUACAUUGCUUCCCUAUGUAUCCUUAAGGGAUAGACCAGAGGAAAAGUUAAGUAAUAGAUAAACAAUCAAUAAUACCUAAUUGGUUUCCCAAUCAAUUAGCACUUACUGUGUUGGAUUUGUUCACUUUCAGCCAUAGUUACACCUUGAAUUUCUGUAUUUCCAAAGUGGGCUCUUUUUUUUCUAAGGAAUUUCCUCAAUUUUUUCGUGUAAGUAGGCUUCUGAGGAGUCUAUUUCACUGAUUUUUGUGAUAUAUUUAAUCAUUCCAGGGCUACAAAAUUUAAGCUGAAUUUAAAUUAUUCAUAAUAUAACAAUCUCUCUUCCUCUG
rnacentral:lncRNA from 1 species